UACGGGGGGGGUAAGCGUUGUUCGGAAUUACUGGGCGUAAAGGGCUCGUAGGCGGCCAACUAAGUCGGACGUGAAAUCCCUCAGCUUAACUGGGGAACUGCGUCCGAUACUGGAUGGCUUGGAUUUGGGAGAGGGAUGCGGAAUUCCAGGUGUAGCGGUGAAAUGCGUAGAGAUCAGAAAGAACACCAACGGCGAAAGCACUCUGCUGGGCCGACACUGACACUAAGAGACGAAAGCUAGGGGAGCGAAUGGG
rnacentral:rRNA from 1 species